rnacentral:tRNA from 1 species
GCGUGUAUAGCUUAGUGGUAGAGCACCUGCUUAGCAUGCACAAGGUCCUGGUUUCAAUCCCCAGUACCUCCA